rnacentral:rRNA from 1 species
CCUACGGGAGGCAGCAGUGAGGAAUAUUGGUCAAUGGGCGAGAGACUGAACCAGCCAAGUCGCGUGAAGGAUGACGGAUCUAUGGUUUGUAAACUGCUUUUAUAUGGGAAUAAAGUGAGGCACGUGUUCCUUUUUGUAUGUACCAUAUGAAUAAGCAUCGGCUAACUCCGUGCCAGCAGCCGCGGUAAUACGGAGGAUGCGAGCGUUAUCCGGAUUUAUUGGGUUUAAAGGGUGCGUAGGUGGUUAAUUAAGUCAGCGGUGAAAGUUUGUGGCUCAACCAUAAAAUUGCCGUUGAAACUGGUUGACUUGAGUAUAUUUGAGGUAGGCGGAAUGCGUGGUGUAGCGGUGAAAUGCAUAGAUAUCACGCAGAACUCCGAUUGCGAAGGCAGCUUACUAAACUAUAACUGACGUUGAGGCACGAAAGCGUGGGGAGCAAACAGGAUUAGAUACCCGGGUAGUC